rnacentral:rRNA from 1 species
GACGAACGCUGGCGGCGUGCCUAAUACAUGCAAGUCGAACGCAGUGGGGACGGGUGAGUAACACGUGGGUAACCUCCCAUCAGAGGGGAUAACACUUGGAAACAGGUGCUAAACCGAUACUGAUGGAUGGACCCGCGGUGCAUUAGCUAGUUGGUGAGGUAACGGCUCACCAAGGCCACGAUGCAUAGCGGACGUGAGAGGGUGAUGGACCACACGGGAACGGGGACAGGGCCCAGAUUCCGACGGGAGGAAGAGGUAGGAAAUCUUCGGCAAUGAACAAAAGUCUAACCGGGAAACGCGGGGUGAGUAAAGAGGGUUUUGGGAUCGUAAGACUCUUUUGUUGGAGAAGCGGUAUCUAACCAGAAAGCCACGGCUAACUACGUGCCAGCAGCCGCGGUAAUAC